GACGAAGGGGGCUAGCGUUGUCCGGAAUUACUGGGCGUAAAGAGCUCGUAGGUGGUUUGUCGCGUUGUUCGUGAAAACUCACAGCUCAACUGUGGGCGUGCGGGCGAUACGGGCAGACUUGAGUACUGCAGGGGAGACUGGAAUUCCUGGUGUAGCGGUGGAAUGCGCAGAUAUCAGGAGGAACACCGGUGGCGAAGGCGGGUCUCUGGGCAGUAACUGACGCUGAGGAGCGAAAGCGUGGGGAGCGAACAGG
rnacentral:rRNA from 1 species